UUCCGCCCGGCCCUGAAGCUAACGUGCGCAGCAGCCUCCGUGCGCGUCGGACUUGAUAGCGCUGGUCUAGCGUUCCGGAAGAUUCUCGGAGCUGAGGACGGUGGGAUUCUGGAGGGUUUACAUAGGCGAAGGUGGCUGAAUAGGGCGGGAAGCGUCCCCUUGCGCAAGCUCUGUGCCUGGAGGGCUCUAAAGCCUGAGGCGACUGUAGCCGAACCAAGGAGCCUGCGUUUGCCCGGAAGCAGGCUGGGAGGAAGGACGCUCACAGCCUCUGACACAGUGGAUUCGGAGAUAAGGACCUGAUAGCGUAGUAUGACUCACACUCCUAUGGACUUGGAGAAUUGUGGUCCCGAGGUUCGGCCGACCCAACAAGCAGGCCCGACUUAGAGUGAACCGUGAGAGGCCUCAUCAUUACCAACUCGCAGUGCUGAAUCCAGGGUCUAGAUUUCAAACACGGUUAUUUUAAAGAUGUAUUUACUUUUUGUAUGUGAAUGUACUGUCUUCGGACACACCCGAGAAGGACAUCAGAUCCCACAAUAAGCUCCUGUCUCAAUAAAUCAAUAAGCUCCUGUAUAAAUAAAUAGACAUUUAAAUCCUCACCCCACC